rnacentral:rRNA from 1 species
UACGAAGGGGGCUAGCGUUGUUCGGAAUUACUGGGCGUAAAGCGCACGUAGGCGGAUAUUUAAGUCAGGGGUGAAAUCCCAGAGCUCAACUCUGGAACUGCCUUUGAUACUGGGUAUCUUGAGUAUGGAAGAGGUAAGUGGAAUUCCGAGUGUAGAGGUGAAAUUCGUAGAUAUUCGGAGGAACACCAGUGGCGAAGGCGGCGACCUGGGCCAAUACUGACGCUGAGGUGCGAAAGCGUGGGGAUCAAACAGGG